rnacentral:rRNA from 1 species
AAGGAGGAGCUUGCUUCUCUGGAUGAGUUGCGAACGGGUGAGUAACGCGUAGGUAACCUGCCUGGUAGCGGGGGAUAACUAUUGGAAACGAUAGCUAAUACCGCAUAAGAGUAGAUGUUGCAUGACAUUUGCUUAAAAGGUGCAAUUGCAUCACUACCAGAUGGGACCCUGCGUUGUAUUAGCUAGUUGGUGAGGUAACGGCUCACCAAGGCAACGAUACAUAGCCGACCUGAGAGGGUGAUCGGCCACACUGGGACUGAGACACGGCCCAGACUCCUACGGGAGGCAGCAGUAGGGAAUCUUCGGCAAUGGACGGAAGUCUGACCGAGCAACGCCGCGUGAGUGAAGAAGGUUUUCGGAUCGUAAAGCUCUGUUGUAAGAGAAGAACGAGUGUGAGAGUGGAAAGUUCACACUGUGACGGUAUCCUUACCAGAAAGGGACGGCUAACUACGUGCCAGCAGCCGCGGUAAUACGUUAGGUCCCGAGGCGUUGUCCGGAUUUAUUGGGGCGUAAAGCGAGCGCAGGCGGUUAGAUAAGUCUGAAGUUAAAGGCUGUGGCUUAACCAUAGUACGCUUUGGAAACUGUUUGACUUGAGUGCAAGAGGGGAGAGUGGAAUUCCAUGUGUAGCGGUGAAAUGCGUAGAUAUAUGGAGGAACACCGGUGGCGAAAGCGGCUCUCUGGCUUGUAACUGACGCUGAGGCUCGAAAGCGUGGGGAGCAAACAGGAUUAGAUACCCUGGUAGUCCACGCCGUAAACGAUGAGUGCUAGGUGUUAGACCCUUUCCGGGGUUUAGUGCCGCAGCU